UAAUGUUCUUAAAUCACUAUUUAAGCAAAAAGAAUCCAUAAAAUCU
rnacentral:sRNA from 1 species